AAUCUCGCCCUGUAAGAAACGUUUUGGGAUUGUGAUUAAGUUUGCAGUUUCAAAGAUAACCAUGAACAAAAAUUGGCGCUCAAAACAGGACAGCAAGUCCAUUGAGAUUUCAGCAUGGGAUUAUAAAAGAUGGAGAUCAGAGGGGGAGGGCAAAUGGAGGUCAUUGACUGGCCUUGUUUGUCAAUCAACUCGGUUUCAAUGGUUAAUGAGGACGAUGCGUGGAAGUUCAUAUUAAAAUGUCAGAGGUGAAAUUCUUGGAUUAUUUUACGAUGAACAUCAGCGAAGGCAUCCUUCAAGUGCGUACCUGUCAAUCAAGAACGAAAGUUGGGGGAUCGAAGACGAUCAGAUACCGUCGUAGUCUCAACAGUAAACUAUGCCGACUAUGAAUUGGAUAUCGUUUUAAGAGGUGUUGGGGAGACUCGUUCUCCCUCCCUCUGAUGACUUCUCCAGCACAUUAAAAGAAAUUAAGAGUUUUUGGGUUCCGGGGGGAGUAUAGUCGCAAGGCCGAAACUUAAAGGAAUUGACGGAAGGGCACCACCAGGUGUGGAGCCUGCGGCUUAAUUUGACUCAACACGGGGAAACUUACCAGUCCAAACAGCGUGAGGAUUGACAGAUUGAUAGCUCUUUCAUGAUUCGUUGGGUGGUGGUGCAUGGCCGUUCUUAGUUGGUGGUGUGAGUUGUCUGGUUGAUUCCGUUAACGAACGAGACCUUUGUUGUAUAAUAGGAGGCAGUAGUUUUUGCGUCAAGGGCGGCUGCAAAUUUGUUGGGAUACGAGCAAUCGCCCUGGCAAAGUUUUUGUGUCGCUUGCAUAGCUAGUGUCAGUUUCCUUCUAUACAAGACAAAUACAGAAAAUGUAUUGGAAGUUAUAGGCAAAAACAGGUCUGUGAUGCCCUUCGAUGUUCUGGGCUGCACGCGCGCUACAAUGACAAUGUCAGCGAGUAUUUUCAGCUUGUGCGAAAGCACUGGCAAAUCUUGGAAACGUUGUCGUAAUAUGGAUUGCUGAUUGCAAUUAUUCGGCAUGAAACAGGAAUACCUAGUAGGUGUGGUUCAUCAGACUACGCCGAUUACGUCCCUGCCCUUUGUACACACCGCCC
rnacentral:rRNA from 1 species